GACAGAGGAUGCAAGCGUUAUCCGGAAUGAUUGGGCGUAAAGGGUAGGUAGGUGGUCUCAUUUGUCUGGGGUGAAAGCCUUGAGCUUAACUCAAGAAGUGCCCCAGAAACGGUGAGACUAGAGUCCUGGAGAGGGUCGUGGAAUUCCCGGUGUAGCGGUGAAAUGCGUAGAGAUCGGGAGGAACACCAGAGGCGAAAGCGGCGACCUGGACAGGUACUGACACUCAACUACGAAAGCGUGGGGAGCAAACAGG
rnacentral:rRNA from 1 species